rnacentral:rRNA from 1 species
AUUGAACGCUGGCGGCAUGCCUUACACAUGCAAGUCGAACGGUAACGGGCCUUCGGGUGCCGACGAGUGGCGAACGGGUGAGUAAUACAUCGGAACGUGCCCGAUCGUGGGGGAUAACGAGGCGAAAGCUUUGCUAAUACCGCAUACGAUCUACGGAUGAAAGCAGGGGACCGCAAGGCCUUGCGCGGACGGAGCGGCCGAUGGCAGAUUAGGUAGUUGGUGGGAUAAAAGCUUACCAAGCCGACGAUCUGUAGCUGGUCUGAGAGGAUGAUCAGCCACACUGGGACUGAGACACGGCCCAGACUCCUACGGGAGGCAGCAGUGGGGAAUUUUGGACAAUGGGCGCAAGCCUGAUCCAGCCAUGCCGCAUGCAGGAUGAAGGCCUUCGGGUUGUAAACUGCUUUUGUACGGAACGAAAAGCCUUCUUUUAAUACAGGAGGGUCAUGACGGUACCGUAAGAAUAAGCACCGGCUAACUACGUG